GGGCAGAGUAACACGGAUAUAACUGAAUCAGGAAAGCUAAUGUUGAAGCCUUUUCGUAAAACCAUGUCGGGUACCUACAGCUGUACUCUUUCUUACAGAACCAUCAAUAAUAAUUUUGAAGAAGAACUGACCCUCAAACUAUAUACUUUUUUAGUGCUUGGUAAGAAAUUAUAUUUGCAUUUUGAUUACAUGUAACCUUUCCAAAGUCAUCCACAG